UGCCGACCAGCUAGCCCGCCCAACAAAAAACAACACCCCAAUAUUAAUACCCCCAAAGACCCCCCCCCCCCGCUUAAUCAAACCAUUUUACCCCCCCAGUAUGGGCGACAGAAAAGGAACUAUCGGAGCUAUAGAGAAAGUACCGCAAGGGAAUGCUGAAAAAGAAAUGAAAUAAUUCAGUGAAGCCAAAAAAAGCAGAGAUUUCACCUCGUACCUUUUGCAUCAUGAUUUAGCUAGUACCCCCCAAGCAAAGAGCACUUUAGUUUGGACCCCCGAAACUACGUGAGCUACUCCAAGACAGCCUAUCAAUAGGGCAAACCCGUCUCUGUGGCAAUAGAGUGGGAAGAUCUUUGAGUAGAGGUGACAGACCUACCGAACCUAGUUAUAGCUGGUUGCCUGAGAAUUGGAUAAGAGUUCAGCCUCCAGGCUUUCUCCCUUCAACCCCGGUACUUCUCCACUACCGAUAUCUAAAAGAAGCCUAGAGAGUUAAUCAAAGGGGGAACAGCUCCUUUGACCCAAAACACAACUUUCCCAGGAGGGUAAAGAUCAUAAUUACUAAAGGGACAUGCCCUGGUGGGCUUAAGAGCAGCCACCCAAACAGAAAGCGUUCAAGCUCAAGCAUUUAACCUUACCCAUAUAUCUCGAUAACCAAAUCCCAACCCCCUAAACACUAUCAGGCCAUCUCAUGCAUACAUGAGAGUGCACAUGCUAAUAUGAGUAAUAAGAGAGUACCCCGCUCUCUCCCUGCACACGUGUAUAUCGGCUACGAACCCCCACCGAAACUUAACGGUCCCAAACAAAGAGGGCCCUGAACAACAAGUAACCAACUAGAAAAACAUCCAAUGAAUAACCGUUAACCCAACACUGGUGUGCCUAUAAGGAAAGACUAAAAGAAAAAGAAGGAACUCGGCAAACACUAGAAGCCUCGCCUGUUUACCAAAAACAUCGCCUCUUGCAAAAAUAAAGAAUAAGAGGUCCAGCCUGCCCUGUGACUAUAUGUUCAACGGCCGCGGUAUUUUAACCGUGCGAAGGUAGCGUAAUCACUUGUCUUUUAAAUGGAGACCUGUAUGAAUGGCAUUACGAGGGCUUAACUGUCUCCUUUUUCAAGUCAAUGAAAUUGAUCUCCCCGUGCAGAAGCGGGGAUAAUCCCAUAAGACGAGAAGACCCUAUGGAGCUUUAGACACCAAGGCAUAUCAUGUUACCUAUCCCUACACCCUGGGAAUUAAACCUAUUGAAUCAUGCCCCUAUGUCUUCGGUUGGGGCGACCACGGGGAAAUAAAGAACCCCCGCGUGGAAUGGGAGCACUGACUCCUACGACCAAGAGCUGCAGCUCUAACGAACAGAAUUUUUGACCAAUAAAGAUCCGGCAACGCCGAUCAACGGACCAAGUUACCCUAGGGAUAACAGCGCAAUCCCCUUUUAGAGCCCGUAUCAACAAGGGGGUUUACGACCUCGAUGUUGGAUCAGGACAUCCUAAUGGUGCAGCCGCUAUUGAGGGUUCGUUUGUUCAACGAUUAAAGUCCUACGUGAUCUGAGUUCAGACCGGAGUAAUCCAGGUCAGUUUCUAUCUAUGACAUGUUCUUUUCUAGUACGAAAGGACCAAAAAGAAGAGGCCAAUGCUCAAAGCACGCCUCACUCCUCCUAUUGAAAACAACUAAAAUAGGCAAAAGAGCAUAUCCCUUUAUGCCGGAGAUACACGGUAUA
rnacentral:rRNA from 1 species